AAAGGAUUUGGUGUUAAAAUUGGCUUUGCCAAGAUUUCCUCUCUCACCUGAUCUCCAUUAGCUCCUAAUUGGACCAGAGGCCCACAUGGUUCCACUCAGAGCCAGCAUCUAAUAAUCACAUAAGGUCUGGCUAUUUGCUUUUUCCCAGUCACAUUAUUAAGGGAUAAUAGCCUUCAGAGAGGACUUGGAGGAAGAUUCACAGUAAAGGGUUGAGGCCAUUUUGGAGGAUUUUUCUUCAAAGAGGGCUGGUCUCCCUGCCAGUCAUUCUGACUCUCUGAGAUAGUUUAUAUUUUAGAAUUGAAUGAGAGACAGUGAACCUCACUACAGUAUUUCAAGUCUUAAUUUUACUCAGCAGACCUGGAAUGUUCUGCUUAUAAGUCAAACAGCACAUUAAGAGGUUGCCCAGCUAUUUCAAUCACAGAGCCCUGGGAAUAAUUAGCCACAGCUAUAGACCUCUGUGGCUGAUUAGGGUAAUUGUGCCCACUACAGCUAAAGGUUACAUGCUAGCACCUGACCUCACCAUGCUGGGAUCUCAUUUGUGCUGGGGAGCCUAGUGCCAUGGCAGCAGACUCACUUUCUUCCUGAGCUCAGAGAGAGCAGCCGCCGUAGCGCUGGUAGCUCUUGUCGCGAAUUCUGGUGUUCCAUGGACUCCUUUGUGCAUUAGUGAAGAGAAUUUCCUGCAAGCUGACAGUCAUCUUUGUAUGGAAGCAGUUCCUCAUGGAGGAGGCCCUGACUGUCUGUACCAUGCUUGGAUCUAAUUCUCAUUUGGGGAAUGGUGUCAACAAGGAAUCUUGGGAGUGGAGACUGAAGAGAACCAGCAUCUUCUCGUGAGAUAUCUCCACCAGACUUAGCUUGUACAUCUGGAAGUUCUCAACUCAAGUACUGUUGAAGCCUAGCUUGAAGGAUUUUGAGCAUAACCUUACUAGCAUGAGUUUGCUGGUCUACCAGAGGUCUUACUCCUAAACCAAAUGCAAGAGACUGAAAGCCCAUUUAUAGCACUGGGCAGGGAUUCAAGAGCAAGCUUGGGAUUCAAGGAGCUCUGGGCCUGAAUCAUAACUUUGCUUCUUCUUAUUCAGCCUUCUACCUACUGCAUACCAGUCUUCUGACAGGCCUCAUCAAGGACAGCUCCUGAGACUCCAGCCAAGGACGUUAACCUUUGACAGUUAAGAAGAGUUGAAAGACAAAAAUGCAUCCCAGCUAUGUGAGCAAGUGUCCUUCACCUACAAGUUGUUCUGGUUGAUGAAGAGUUUAGUCUGACGAGCCUGUUACUCCCCAGAUCCCUGCGAUCUGUUGCCUUGGGGUAUUCCAUUUCACUGCUUACUAGAGUUGGUUGUAUUCAAAGUAAUUAACUUUAAUGUGUUGAUCCUAGAUAUUAUUGAACAAAUGUUGACUCUGUUACCCUUGCCCAUCUAGCUACAGGCUAUUUUGGUUAUACAAGUAUACACUCCUCAUUUGUUGAUGCUGAUAAGGUGCUGAGGCCACCACAGGGACCUAGUAUCUCAAUUCACAGAUUAAAUGAGCUAAUAUAUGUUAAGAACUUAUGCCUGUGCUUGGCACUUUAUUUAUAUCGUAUUAGUAUUUGCUCUUAAGAGCCAAAGAAAAGCAAUAAUCAUUCAUUGGUGUAACCACAUGGGAAGAGGUACGGAAUGUAUUUCGGUUUGAAAAAUGAGUAACAAUUUGCCUCAAAUCUCAAGCAUACAGAACAUGAGAUCAUUUUGUUUUUUUUCUUUAAGUCCCUGUUGCAGGCCAUGAAUAAAACUCAAAAGUCCUGCUUGUGCAGGGAUUUGGUCCAGUCGUGUCUCAGCCACUAUCUCCUCUCUUUUAGGUAACUUCAGUAAAGUAAGAAGGUAAUCC